AACGAACGCUGGCGGCAUGCCUAACACAUGCAAGUCGAACGAUUGCCUUCGGGUGAUAGUGGCGCACGGGUGCGUAACGCGUGGGAAUCUGCCCUUAGGUUCGGAAUAACAGCUGGAAACGGCUGCUAAUACCGGAUGAUAUCGCGAGAUCAAAGAUUUAUCGCCUGAGGAUGAGCCCGCGUUGGAUUAGGUAGUUGGUGGGGUAAAGGCCUACCAAGCCGACGAUCCAUAGCUGGUCUGGGAGGAUGAUCAGCCACACUGGGACUGAGACACGGCCCAGACUCCUACGGGAGGCAGCAGUGGGGAAUAUUGGACAAUGGGCGCAAGCCUGAUCCAGCAAUGCCGCGUGAGUGAUGAAGGCCCUAGGGUUGUAAAGCUCUUUUACCCGGGAAGAUAAUGACUGUACCGGGAGAAUAAGCCCCGGCUAACUCCGUG
rnacentral:rRNA from 1 species